GACCACUUAUUUCUGGUCAUUAUGUUGUGCCCUCUGUAGCACCUGUGUUUUGCCUGCCUAGCUGUGCUUCUUUCUUCUGCCCAAUUAGGUCCACUCUAUGAACAUCUCCACAAAGCUAACUUCUAGGUCUCCUCAUUCAGGUUUCUACUUGCUCAGAAUAUAAUUAACUACUUAUGAGUGGAAACAGAGAUUUAAGUGAGAAGUAGUGGUGGGUAUUUAAAUAUGAAGGAGGAUUUUUAAUUUUUACUCCAGAAUGUCUUACAAAAAUUUAUAAUGAACAUAUUCUAAAUUUUUUUUGUUUGCUUCCAUGAUUUCCAGAUUUUCUAUCAGAAACAUUUAUUACCUGGAACAUUCAUUAAUAUGAAAACAAAAAUACAUCCUUUCAUUGUAUGUUAACUGAAAACCAGCAUUUUACAUCACAGUUCAUAUUACAGAUCUUAAUGCACUAAGAGUACAUGUGUACACAUACAGAUAACU